rnacentral:rRNA from 1 species
AUGGCAGACCUCACGGACAUGGGCUGCUGCAGCUGUUUCAGUUUCCUAAGGAAGCCCAGCGUGAAGGUAGGUCGGCCUCGGGACACUGAUCGCAUGUUAUCCAAAGAUUUGUUGAAGCGCCAGACUAGUGAAGAUUUUGACGGGAGCUUCUACACUGGAGAUGAUCCUGACUUAAGCUUUUACAAUGGGGAUGGCAUUGAUAGAAGCUUCUUUAACGGUGAUGAUCCUGAUAGAAGUUUCUAUGAAAGAGAUGGUACUGAUUAUAAUCACGAGAGUGACGAUGAGCCCCCACGGAAGAGGUCUGAAGAUAUUAUCCUGACGAGGGCUCAAAGUGGCUUUGCAUGUAGGGAAAGCCUGGUUAAGGAGACUAAAAAAGUUGUUCGCUCAGAGGACGAUCUUGGCAAUAAGAUGAUCAAUCAGUAUGUUCACCUGGGCAAGAUCGGCGCUGGAAGCUAUGGCAAAGUGGUUCUAUACCGAAACAUUGAAGAUGGGAAGUUAUAUGCAGUGAAGGUGCUGAAUAAACCUCACAUGAUGAAAGUACGUGUCGUACGGUCAGAAACCGCCAUGACAGAUGUUAUUCGGGAAGUAUCCCUCAUGAAAAUGUUGAGUCAUCCCAAUAUCGUAAAUCUCAUUGAGGUGAUUGAUGAUCCAAACUCAGAUAAAUUCUACAUGGUUCUUGAGUAUGUGGAAGGAAAAAUUGUGUGGGAUAAAGGUUUAGGAGAAGCUACUUGCAGAAAGUACUUGCGGGACAUUAUAUCUGGUGUUAUGUAUCUUCACUCUCAUAACAUUAUUCAUAGCGAUAUUAAGCCGGAUAAUCUCUUGGUCACAAGUACUGGCAAUGUGAAGAUAGGGGACUUCAGUGUUAGCCAGAUUUUUGAGGAUGAUGAUGAUAUGCUUCGGAGAUCUCCAGGCACUCCUGUUUUCACUGCACCGGAGUGCUGUCAAGGUUCAGCUUACCAUGGUAGAGCGUCUGAUACAUGGGCAGUCGGUGUUACUCUGUAUUGUAUGAUUACUGGGCGCUAUCCAUUUCUAGGAGAAACUUUGCAGGAAACAUACGACAAGAUUGUCAAUGAUCCAGCGGAUAUACCAAGCGACGUGAGCCCCCUACUCGUUGAUUUGCUGGAAAGGCUUCUCUGCAAAGAUCCACGAGACCGCAUCACCCUGGAAGCUACGGCCGCGCAUCCUUGGGUCGCCGGGGACGAGGGGCCAGUCCCCGAAUACAUGUGUAGAUGUGGUUUCGGCCGCAGGAAGAGAAAUGGUUCGCAAGAAGCGGUACAAUAA